rnacentral:rRNA from 1 species
UAAAACAUAGUGUUAUUGCACUGGAUCCCAUUAGAACUUCACAGUUAAGCGCACUCGGGCUAGAGUAGUAUUGGGAUGGGUGAUCACUCGGGAAGUCCUAGUGUUUUAC